rnacentral:rRNA from 1 species
UACGAGAGGCCCAAACGUUAUUCGGAAUUACUGGGCUUAAAGAGUUCGUAGGCGGCAUGAAAAGUAGGGUGUGAAAGCCCUCGGCUCAACCGAGGAAUUGCGCUCUAAACUGUCGUGCUCGAGGAAUCUAGAGGUGAGCGGAACUGAUGGUGGAGCGGUGAAAUGCGUAGAUAUCGGAAGGAACACCAGUGGCGAAAGCGGCUUCCUGGUCCAGCAUCGACGUUCAGGCACGAAAGCGUGGGGAGCAAACAGG